GAUCACCUCCACUUGUCCCAG
rnacentral:misc_RNA from 1 species